GUGAAUCAUCGAAUCUUUGAACGCAAAUUGCACUCUCCUCGGAGAGUAUGCCUGUUUGAGGGUCAGCCUAAAAAAAAAUCGACAUUGUUGCUGUUUUAUGGUGACUUUCGUCGGAGAUGGGUUAUCUUAAAUCUCGGUUUAAGCGACUUAAAAAUUUUUUUUGGCUCCAUGAACGUUUCUAAGAUUUACUUACACGUUUAAGGUAUCGAUUUUUAUUAGACGUGACCAUCAUAUCGGAUCGCGCCCAUAAUCUUUCAUUAACUGGCCUCAGACAGGUAAGAGUACCCGCUGAACUUAAGC
rnacentral:misc_RNA from 1 species